rnacentral:rRNA from 1 species
UAUCUCUGUAGAGUCUGCAUAUCAAUAAGCGGAGGAAAAGAAACUAACAAGGAUUCCCUUAGUAACGGCGAGUGAAGCGGGAAGAGCUCAAAUUUGAAAUCUUCAAGGUUCUACCUUGACGAAUUGUAGUUUAAAGAAGUGUUUUCUGUUAGAUGAGUAGCAAAAGUUCCUUGGAAUGGGACAUCAUAGAGGGUGAGAAUCCCGUAUUUGACGUUAUUCAUUCUAGCUGUGUGAUACACUUUCAAAGAGUCGGAUUGUUUGGGAAUGCAGUCCAAAAUGGGUGGUAAAUUUCAUCUAAAGCUAAAUAUUGGCGAGAGACCGAUAGCGAACAAGUACCGUGAGGGAAAGAUGAAAAGAACUUUGAAAGGAGAGUUAAACAGUACGUGAAAUUGUCAAAAGGGAAGCGUUUGACACCAAUGUUGUUUUUCCGAAAAUCAAUUACGAAUGGCUUGAUUUUGUGUUGUAUUGACCUUAUCAGCUUUCUUCACUUUUUUCGAGUCUUUCUUAAUGCACUUUUCGGUUAACAAGUCAGCAUCAAUUUCUUUUGUUGUAAAAGAGUAUUCGGAAGGUGGCUUUCUUUUCGGAGAAAGUGUUUAUAGCCCUAUACUUCUACAAUCGGAGAGAUUGAGGUCUGCAGCGUAGAUCCUUCGGGGUUAGAUACACUUGUGCUAAGUUGUAGCUUUUCAUAGACAACUUGUUGACUAUGUUUAGUCAUGCGGCUUACUCGCUUGUGCUAUUUUACCUACGCUUAGGAUGUUGACUGAUAUGUAGUCGUA